GAAAGGAUGGCUAAUACCGCAUAAGACCUGAGGGUGAAAGCCGGGGACCGCAAGGCCCGGCGCAGACGGAGCGGCCGAUGAUUGAUUAGCUAGUUGGGGAGGUAAAGGCUCACCAAGGCGACGAUCAAUAGCUGGUCUGAGAGGACGACCAGCCACACUGGAACUGAGACACGGUCCAGACUCCUACGGGAGGCAGCAGUGGGGAAUUUUGGACAAUGGGGGCAACCCUGAUCCAGCCAUGCCGCGUGCGGGAAGAAGGCCUUCGGGUUGUAAACCGCUUUUGUCAGGGACGAAAAGCUCCGGAGUAAUAUGCCGGAGUGCUGACGGUACCUGAAGAAUAAGCACCGGCUAACUACGUGCCAGCAGCCGCGGUAAUACGUAGGGUGCAAGCGUUAAUCGGAAUUACUGGGCGUAAAGCGUGCGCAGGCGGUUGGGUAAGACAGAUGUGAAAUCCCCGGGCUUAACCUGGGAACUGCAUUUGUGACUGUCCGACUGGAGUACGUCGGAGGGGGGUGGAAUUCCACGUGUAGCAGUGAAAUGCGUAGAUAUGUGGAAGAACACCGAUGGCGAAGGCAGCCCCCUGGGACGCAACUGACGCUCAUGCACGAAAGCGUGGGGAGCAAACAGGAUUAGAUACCCUGGUAGUCCACGCCCUAAACGAAGUGUGCUGGUUGUUGGGAAUUUAAUUCUCAGUAAC
rnacentral:rRNA from 1 species